CCUACGGGCGGCAGCAGUGAGGAAUAUUGGUCAAUGGACGAGAGUCUGAACCAGCCAAGUAGCGUGAAGGAUGACUGCCCUAUGGGUUGUAAACUUCUUUUAUAUGGGAAUAAAAUGUUCCACGUGUGGGAUUUUGUAUGUACCAUAUGAAUAAGGAUCGGCUAACUCCGUGCCAGCAGCCGCGGUAAUACGGAGGAUCCGAGCGUUAUCCGGAUUUAUUGGGUUUAAAGGGAGCGCAGGUGGAUUGUUAAGUCAGUUGUGAAAGUUUGGGGCUCAACCGUAACAUUGCAGUUGAAACUGGCAGUCUUGAGUACAGUAGAGGUGGGCGGAAUUCGUGGUGUAGCGGUGAAAUGCUUAGAUAUCACGAAGAACUCCGAUUGCGAAGGCAGUUCACUGGACUGCAACUGACACUGAGGCUCGAAAGUGUGGGUAUCAAACAGGAUUAGAUACCCCUGUAGUC
rnacentral:rRNA from 1 species